rnacentral:rRNA from 1 species
ACGAACGCUGGCGGCGUGCUUAACACAUGCAAGUCGAGCGCUGAAGCCUUCGGGUGGAUGAGCGGCGAACGGGUGAGUAACACGUGGGUGACCUGCCCCUCACUCUGGGAUAAGCCUGGGAAACUGGGUCUAAUACCGGAUAUGACUUCCUGCCGCAUGGUGGGUUGUGGAAAGUGCGUUCUUAAUUGAGCGAGUCGGUGGGGGAUGGGCCCGCGGCCUAUCAGCUUGUUGGUGGGGUGAUGGCCUACCAAGGCGACGACGGGUAGCCGGCCUGAGAGGGCGACCGGCCACACUGGGACUGAGACACGGCCCAGACUCCUACGGGAGGCAGCAGUGGGGAAUAUUGCGCAAUGGGCGAAAGCCUGACGCAGCGACGCCGCGUGGGGGAUGACGGCCUUCGGGUUGUAAACCUCUUUCGCCAGGGACGAAGCUAACGUGACGGUACCUGGAUAAGAAGCACCGGCCAACUACGUGCCAGCAGCCGCG